AUCUAUAGCCGUAUCACCAUGAAUGUGCCCUAUCUCAUCUGCUUUUGUAAACCUAAGCAGGGUCAGGCCUGGUUAGUGCUUGGAUGGGAGACCUCAUGGGAAUACCAGGUGCCGUAGGCU
rnacentral:rRNA from 1 species